UACGUAGGGACCAAGCGUUGUUCGGAUUUACUGGGCGUAAAGGGCGCGUAGGCGGCUUAACAAGUCACUUGUGAAAUCUCCGGGCUUAACUCGGAACGGCCAAGUGAAACUGUCAAGCUAGAGUGCAGAAGGGGCAAUCGGAAUUCUUGGUGUAGCGGUGAAAUGCGUAGAUAUCAGGAGGAAUACCUAUGGCGAAAGCAGGUAUCUGGGCCAUAACUGACACUGAGCUGCGAAAGCUAGGGGAGCAAACAGG
rnacentral:rRNA from 1 species